UCGAUAUCCUUCCCAGUGGCUAUGGGAAUCUGCUUUGUGAUCGAUGGAUUUGGCAUUGAUUGAUGUACAUGCGUUGGUUUCCUGGUUUUCGACAGAUGAUAUGAGUCUGAAGAAGUUGAGAUGAUGUCCACCUGAUUGACUGAUUUCAGAAAGUUGAUACCAAUAUAUCCAGCCAGAAACAGAAGAUGAAAACGGGCAAUUAUACAGUAAAUUGUAUUGCAUGAUUGUUAUACUGCAGAGCAUCUCGGUAAUAAAUAUGUUAGCCAUACUGUGCACACACUUAAAGAAGAACUGUUAGAGAACCAUGGAGUAUCUGCCCUUUAAACAAAACGUGUUAAUUAAGGCUAUUGAUCACCGUGACUGGCAAGAAGCAAGACGUAUCUGUGAAGAACAUCCCAACCUUAUUAACACUUAUGACACCAGGAUAUGGGUGUGUAUUCAGCUGAUUAUAUACAAUUCUGGGUGUGAUUUAGUGAUGAAUUAUCAUUUUAUUGGUUCUUCACUUCAGGCCUAAAGUUACUGUAGUCCCAAACAUUGCCUUAAGGCCUGUCUAGACUCUUAAAUUUUAUUUGACGAAAACAUGUGACAUGCCCAAAUAUGGUGAUGAUGACAUCACAUUGUGACCAUAUUUGGGCACAUGAUGACUAUAUUUGGGCAUACAACAGUUUUU